rnacentral:rRNA from 1 species
GCAAGUCGAGCGGGGGAAGGUAGCUUGCUACUGGACCUAGCGGCGGACGGGUGAGUAAUGCUUAGGAAUCUGCCUAUUAGUGGGGGACAACAUUCCGAAAGGAAUGCUAAUACCGCAUACGUCCUACGGGAGAAAGCAGGGGACCUUCGGGCCUUGCGCUAAUAGAUGAGCCUAAGUCGGAUUAGCUAGUUGGUGGGGUAAAGGCCUACCAAGGCGACGAUCUGUAGCGGGUCUGAGAGGAUGAUCCGCCACACUGGGACUGAGACACGGCCCAGACUCCUACGGGAGGCAGCAGUGGGGAAUAUUGGACAAUGGGGGGAACCCUGAUCCAGCCAUGCCGCGUGUGUGAAGAAGGCCUUAUGGUUGUAAAGCACUUUAAGCGAGGAGGAGGCUACUAGUAUUAAUACUACUGGAUAGUGGACGUUACUCGCAGAAUAAGCACCGGCUAACUCUGUGCCAGCAGCCGCGGUAAUACAGAGGGUGCGAGCGUUAAUCGGAUUUACUGGGCGUAAAGCGUGCGUAGGCGGCCAUUUAAGUCAAAUGUGAAAUCCCCGAGCUUAACUUGGGAAUUGCAUUCGAUACUGGAUGGCUAGAGUAUGGGAGAGGAUGGUAGAAUUCCAGGUGUAGCGGUGAAAUGCGUAGAGAUCUGGAGGAAUACCGAUGGCGAAGGCAGCCAUCUGGCCUAAUACUGACGCUGAGGUACGAAAGCAUGGGGAGCAAAC